UACGGAGGGGGCUAGCGUUGUUCGGAAUUACUGGGCGUAAAGCGCACGUAGGCGGCUUUGCAAGUUAGAGGUGAAAGCCCGGGGCUCAACCCCGGAAUUGCCUUUAAAACUGCAUCGCUAGAAUUGUGGAGAGGUAAGUGGAAUUCCGAGUGUAGAGGUGAAAUUCGUAGAUAUUCGGAAGAACACCAGUGGCGAAGGCGGCUCACUGGCCCGAUACUGACGCUGAGGCACGAAAGCGUGGGGAGCAAACAGG
rnacentral:rRNA from 1 species